GCACAGUGAAAGACUCAAUUUUUCACAUUAUAAAGUCAUCAAAAAUAUGAAAUCACUCAAAGGGAAUUAUGGAAAUUAUAUAGUGAUGAAAAAAAGUUAAACAAAUAAAACAUUCUUAUAUUUUAGCUUCUUUAAACUAGCUGCCCUAUGUCUAGAUUGUAGCUCUGCAGACUCUGACCAACUUCAUGAGGUGUCACCUAAGAUGCCUUUUAAAGAGUAUUGAAGGAGCUCCCAAUAUAUUGUGAAUGUUGUUGGCUGUGGUGUAUCAUCUUUCAUAUGCAUUAUUAAUUGUAUAUAUUUUUAAUGGAUAAAAAUGAAUUAAUCAGUACAUAAUUUAAAACCAUUAAUAACAAGCCUUAAAUCACACACAUACGCUCAGUCUUUUCUGGAGCUGUAUAUGUGUGAUUGUAGAUUGUAGAGCUGCAGAAAGAAGUGGCAGAGCUGGAGAAGCAUUGAGAUGAGUUGGAGGCCGAAAUAGAAUCAAAGAAAGCCAAAUACCUGGAGGAGAUAGAGGAGCUGGAGAAUUACAUCUGUCAGCUGGAGGAGGAGGAGGCUGAUCUUCAGUUCUAGAUGAAGGAUCUGAGUGGGGACUGUGAAGAACUGAUGAAUCAGAAGAUGAAUCUGGACAUCGAAAUUGCUGCUUACAGGCUGUCUCAACCAGACCCAGGCCCUGACUGCCAUCACCACGUACUCCAAAACAGCAGAGAGGAAGGUCUACGGGUUCAUGUUUAAUAAACAAUCCAGUGAAAAAUAA